rnacentral:rRNA from 1 species
CCUACGGGAGGCAGCAGUAGGGAAUAUUGGACAAUGGACGCAAGUCUGAUCCAGCCAUCCCGCGUGAAGGAUUAAGGCCCUAUGGGUUGUAAACUUCUUUUCUUUGGGAAUAAAAAGCGGUAUUCAUAUCGCCUUGAAGGUACCAGAGGAAUAAGCACCGGCUAACUCCGUGCCAGCAGCCGCGGUAAUACGGAGGGUGCAAGCGUUAUCCGGAUUCACUGGGUUUAAAGGGUGCGUAGGUGGCUUUGUAAGUCAGCGGUGAAAGCCUGGAGCUCAACUCCAGAAUUGCCAUUGAUACUGCAGAGCUUGAAUCAAGUUGAGGUGGAUGGAAUAUUACAUGUAGCGGUGAAAUGCUUAGAUAUGUAAUAGAACACCGAUUGCGAAGGCAGUUCACUAAGCUUGUAUUGACACUGAGGCACGAAAGCGUGGGGAUCAAACAGGAUUAGAUACCCUGGUAGUCCACGCCCUAAACGAUGCAAACUCGACAUUAGCGAUAUACGGUUAGUGUCCAAGCGAAAGCGUUAAGUUUGCCACCNGGAGACGACCGCGAGUAGUAACGUAAAGUAGUAGUUAGACGGCGUGAGAGUAGCCGACGGACGACGACGAGGGAGGAGG